rnacentral:rRNA from 1 species
CAUGUCUAAGUAUAAGCAAUCUAUACUGUGAAACUGCGAAUGGCUCAUUAAAUCAGUUAUCGUUUAUUUGAUAGUACCUUACUACUUGGAUAACCGUGGUAAUUCUAGAGCUAAUACAUGCUAAAAACCUCGACUUCGGAAGGGGUGUAUUUAUUAGAUAAAAAACCAAUGCCCUUCGGGGCUCCUUGGUGAUUCAUAAUAACUUAACGAAUCGCAUGGCCUUGUGCCGGCGAUGGUUCAUUCAAAUUUCUGCCCUAUCAACUUUCGAUGGUAGGAUAGUGGCCUACCAUGGUUUCAACGGGUAACGGGGAAUGGGGC